UCCCUCGCUAGAGCGAACUCCGAAUAAAUAGCCUUUGCUUUUCUCAUUGGUCUCAUUCUUUGCUGAUUUCCACAGCCUCGAAAGCAGCAGCUUCGCAUGGAUUUGCCGACCAGUCCGCGACCCAUGGUGGGAGGUGUAAUUGCCCCCGCUUUACAGACAUUUGGGGACCAGAGGCUCUGAAAGGUUCGGCCGUUUGACGAAAGGGGAGUACUGCCGGCUCCCAGGAGACAGCUGUGAACCCAGGCCUCCCAGGGCCGACAUUCCAGGGGCUUCCUCCGGGGUUCUACAAGGCUCCCUACACUGUGAGUCAUUGCCACAGAGCUUCUGUCCUUACAACCUGCGCCUGGGCUCGAAAACACCCCCCAGCGCUGGCCUCGGGUGUCCCUCCUGCUCUCCUGCCUCAGGCGUGCUGGCCUCCUGCCUGCUCAGUGCGUGAAUCCCACAGCUUCUUGCCACUGGCCCUUUGCACAGACCAAACCCUCUGCCCGAACAUCUCCCAAAGCUCCUUUCCUCUCGACUUAGAAUUAUCAGUAAUGAUCAAGCGUUGUCGAAGGAGCACCUUUCCGGGGUAACCUCCAUGCUAUUGCUACUUAUAAUUUCAUCAUCCCUGUGUGUGACUUUUCCUUCGCAGUCCCUGCACUGUUCCUGAUGACCUGUUUUUUGUGUGUGUGAUUAUUAGUUAAUAUCUGUCUCCCCCGCUGGGCUGUGAGCCCCGGGAGGGCAGGGUCAGGGCUGCCUCAGUCUCCACUGUGUCCUAGCCCUGACCAGGGCAGUCCAGAUGCAGAGGCGGCCUUGGGGCAGAGGCUCGUGGGGGAAUCUUUGCUGAAGGAACCAGUGAAUGAGCAGUUCAGCAUCUCCAGAGGCAGCCGUGCAUUCGAAUCCCAGCCCUGAAGCUAAUAUUGGGGACAUGCCUUAAACCGCCUGAGCCUCAGCUUCCUUCUGAAUACAAUGGAGAUUUAACCAUGGGUGGGGUAAACUGGGUAUCAGAUCACUCCUCUGUUUAAUACCUUCUAGUGGCUUCUCUCAUUCUCCCCGUGGCCAACAAGCCCAGCCCCUGUGUGCCUCUCAGGCCUCGACUCCUAACACCCAACUCGCACACUGCCUUAUGGCGACGGCAUCCUUCUGUCUAUAUGCUUUGAACACACCAGGCUAGACUUGCCUCAGGGCCUUUGCACUUGCUGUUGCCUCUUCUGUCCCUCAGAAAUCUGCAGGGCUCCUUUCCUUCCUUCUGCUCAAAUGUCACUUCUUCAGCACGUUUACCUGAUGACCUCCCGUCCCAGAUUACAUCAUCCUGUUUAAUCUUUUUUUUUUUUUUUUUUUUUUUUUUUUUUUACUGGGUAAAUCAAUUUCCCCUCAAUUUCUUCGUCUGUAAAAUGAGUCUGAUGAUAUUUCCCACUCACAGGCCUGCAGUGAGGAUUCAAUGAGUUAUACAUAAAGCAAGCAUGUGAUAAGCACCAAAUAAAGUUAGCGCUAUUAUUGUUAA